rnacentral:rRNA from 1 species
UACGUAGGUGGCAAGCGUUGUCCGGAUUUACUGGGCGUAAAGAGCGCGCAGGCGGUCGGAUCAGUCGAAUGUGAAAGCCCCCGGCUCAACUGGGGAGGGUCAUUCGAUACUGUCCGACUCGAAGGCAGGAGAGGGAAGCGGAAUUCCCGGUGUAGUGGUGAAAUGCGUAGAUAUCGGGAGGAACACCGGUGGCGAAGGCGGCGACCUGGGUAGAUACUGACGCUGAGGCGCGAAAGCGUGGGGAGCAAACAGG